CUAGACUAAGUCCACAUAUAAAUUCUGUGUACAUCUGUUCAUUCGCAUUAUAUUCAUAAAGUAAAUGCACAAUGGUUGCAAAGUAUUUAACAGGAUUCGUCUUUCUGUGGGGUUUAGCCCAUGCCAGCGCCGAGUGUCCGGACGGAUGGACAAUAUUUGGACACUCUUGCUCCUUUUUCGGACAUUCUUCAUAUUCCUUCAAUGACUCGCAGAGUUUCUGUGUUCAUCUUGGGGCCUCUCUGGGUCAACGUUGAAUCGGACGCAGAGAACACGUUUAUACGUGGGUUUUUAAUGACUCUUAAAGCUAAUCGACACUGGAUUGGCCUUACGGACGAGGUGAACGAAGGCAUCUGGACCCUUUACCCGUCCGCAGAAGAAGCUCCCCCUUUCUUAGACUGGAGCAAUCACACUACUUAUCCACACCCAACGACGGCACAUACGCAAACUGUGCCGCCUACUUCAACGACCAUAACUACACUGGGUUGAU